GCAUGAAUCACAAAGACCCUGAGGAGAGAGGAGUGGAAGCCGGCAGGUGAAAGAGGUGGAAAAAAACAGGAAAACCACUUGGAUUCUCUAAUGGGUGUGAUGAGUAUCUGGCUCAAAAGGAGCGGCUGGGGUCUGCUGGCUGACUUCCAUGCCUGAAACAGCUCAUGAGAAGUCGAAGAGGCGCAGCAGCAGUGUGUGACAACCCUGACGCUUUCAGCAAUUGAGACUAAUUUACCUAUUACCCACCUUGUCUGUUUGUGGACGUCCCUCCUGACUGGAAUUUGGACGGAUUGAUCCGUUUCCAUCACUUAAAUUCCACCAACCGGUCUGCCGAUACAGAGCUGACGUCAGGGAGUAAACAAGAUCCAUCAUGGAAAGGUCAUUAGUGUCUGCUUGCAACCUCACAGGAAUUCAAAAACCAUCCGUCCUGUAGUUGCAAGCCGUGAGUGGCAUGCACGUGUCCCCGGGUGUUGGUUUAUACUUACGCAUUAUCGGUUGUGUACAGUUGGUUUGCUCAUGUAACUGUUGGUAUGAUAAGUAAAGCUGUUGAAUGAAAAAAUGCAUCAAUUGCAGUGUUCGUAAACCUCACAUAAGGCUGUUUUUAAAAUGUUUGACACUUCAACAUGCUCCGAUGGUGCAGCGCUCUCCUUGAGGUCGACGUCAAAAGAUACAAGGCGUCAAACACUGCGAGACAAAUCGAAGAGGAAUGGGAACAAUCUGUUACCAAACAACAUGAGUCAAAUGCUGUUUGGGAGCCAAACUCUGCUGGUUCCCUCAGCGGGAUGGAGACAAGGCGGGCUGUCACAUUAGUCCACGCGGAACGAGGCAUCAGUGUAAACAUCCCAGAGACAAAAUCAUACAGCCAGCUUUUAGGGAUUUUGGUCGCUCCCCAAUAUUUUUGGUUCCAUAUUUGGAGCUUGUGCCGUCCUGCUGAGCAUCACAGCUGGAGGAGUCAUGUGUUUAUGUGACACGUUGAGGAGUGAGCGUUAUUUAAGAAAUCCAAAUGUACACUUUCACUGUUCUGUAUAGCCAAUAAUGUGUGACUCACAAACACGGCUCUUGUUACUCAUGGAAGGACGGUAAAUGCUCAGUUUUAAUGCUAUCUAUAAUAAUAUAAACAGGGCCCUUAAUCAGGAAGAUGUGACUGGAAUAUGGGAUUGCUGUAACGCUGCACUGAUUUUAUUUUAAAUAUAUAUAUAUAUAUAUAUACGAGAAGUUGUAUUUGGAAUAAUUUUAUGAUAUAAUAAGGUGUUUAUUCUCAGACACAAAUACAAUUUCAAGCUGGGUCUUAACCCCAACACACCACGCAUGUGUUACCUGUUCGCUCGGUGUUUAUCGAGUGCGUCUGUACCUUGGUGACCGCCUGCUGACUCCCCCUCCGAUGAACUAUACUGAGGUGUCGAUGAGUGCAAGAGGCAAAUCUAUCUCGGUUUUAACAGUCACGACGCCCGAGCAGGACUGCAGGGCAGGACUUUCCUGGACUUAGUUGAGUCAAUGUGUACAGUUUGCUUAUUGUGUGUUAAAUAAAUGAAAAACAGCUCAGUUUGCAUCAGUUACAGGAUGAGAGUUAAAAAUACAGCACAGAUGAUUUAAAUGUGAAUCUACAAAGUAUGACUAGUAGAACCUCCUUCUCAUGUCCACUCGGGUUUAAACUCACACACAGGCAAAGCAGAAAAACUAUUGAGAUAAUAUAAAUUGCCAAUUUUUAAAUGACCGUAUCUUGAGUUUGAUUUAUUCUGCUUUAAACGGACUAAAGGAACCACUUCUCGAGAUAAUGACAUGUAGACUACACACUUCAAAGUUGCUAAUGCUGCUGUCUGCAGACACGUAAUCCACCUGCCAAUGUCAUUCUCUCAUUUUGUUAUGCAAUAUUUUGUUGUGAAGCCCAUGUUUUUCUGUCAUAAUGAUCAGUAUAGUUGCUCUACAACACAGUUUAAUUCUAAAAUGUCUGCUCUGAUGUUUCAAAGCUCUGUCAAUCUCUCCCACUUUCUCAAUACGUUUUACGUUCUGUUUGGGGUACUCAAGCUUUUUUUGGGGGAUUUACCCGUACCUUUACCUAACCAUUUUGCCUGGCUUAUACCUAAAUGCUCGCUGUUUCCACGGUGGUUUGUAGCAUGCUGCGUUUAGCUGAGGUUCUCCUCUGGAAUGAACAAAACCCAAAAGUCUUAAUGUGCCCCGUAACAGUAUCUUACCAAGUUUAAAAUAGGAAGGUUACACAGUGUUAGUAGGAGAGAAAGGGCCUUUUAUUUCACCAUUAGUGAAUCCGGGGACUUUGAUCGUCUGCUUUGAAUAUCAAAUCUCUCAUCUCAUUAAUCUGAAAUGUAGUGGUCUCGCUGGGCUCGUUCACACUACAUACGUGCGGUAAAUGUGGAGGGGUGCUGUUGGGGGAGGGAAGCCGUAGAUAAAUCAGGAGUGGGAGUUGGACAGAGAGCCUGGAAAAUGUCAGGGAUUACACAGAAGACAUGUAGGGCCGGUUUCGGAGACAGGGCUUAAAUCAAGACUGAAGUAGGCCUAAAUC
ensembl:lncRNA